rnacentral:rRNA from 1 species
AGAGUUUGAUCCUGGCUCAGAACAAACGCUGGCGGCGUGCUUAACACAUGCAAGUCGCACGAGAAAUCUUGAGCAAUCGAGAGAGUAAAGUGGCGCACGGGUGAGUAGCGCGUGGGUAACCUACCCUUGGGUUGGGGAUAACUCCUCGAAAGGGGUGCUAAUACCGGGUAAUAUUCUAGUCUCUUCGGAGAUUAGAAUCAAAGGGGGCCUCUGCAUGCAAGCUUCCGCCCAAGGAUGGGCCCGCGUACCAUUAGCUAGUUGGUAGGGUAACGGCCUACCAAGGCGACGAUGGUUAGCUGGUCUGAGAGGAUGGCCAGCCACACUGGAACUGAGACACGGUCCAGACUCCUACGGGAGGCAGCAGUGGGGAAUCUUGCGCAAUGGGGGAAACCCUGACGCAGCAACGCCGCGUGGGUGAUGAAGGCCUUCGGGUCGUAAAGCCCUGUCAGGUGGAAAGAACCGUGUCGGUACGAACAAUACCGACGCUUGACGGUACCACCGGAGGAAGCACCGGCUAACUCCGUGCCAGCAGCCGCGGUAAUACGGAGGGUGCAAGCGUUGUUCGGAAUUACUGGGCGUAAAGCGCGUGUAGGCGGUUAGGCAAGUCAGAUGUGAAAGCCUUUCGCUUAACGGAAGAAUUGCAUUUGAAACUACCUGGCUGGAGUUCGGGAGAGGAGAGUGGAAUUCCCGGUGUAGAGGUGAAAUUCGUAGAUAUCGGGAGGAACACCGGUGGCGAAGGCGGCUCUCUGGCCCGAUACUGACGCUGAGACGCGAAAGCGUGGGGGAGCAAACAGGAUUAG